rnacentral:rRNA from 1 species
UACGAAGGGGGCGAGCGUUGUUCGGAUUUACUGGGCGUAAAGGGCGCGCAGGCGGCUCAUUUUGUCAGGCGUGAAAGCCCCGGGCUUAACCUGGGAACUGCGUUUGAUACGGAUGGGCUAGAGUUCGGGAGAGGAGAGUGGAAUUCCCAGUGUAGAGGUGAAAUUCGUAGAUAUUGGGAAGAACACCGGUGGCGAAGGCGGCUCUCUGGACCGAUACUGACGCUGAGGCGCGAAAGCUAGGGGAGCGAACGGG